rnacentral:rRNA from 1 species
CUAUACAUGCAAGUCGAGCGAGCGGAACCAACAGAUUUACUUCGGUAAUGACGUUGGGAAAGCGAGCGGCGGAUGGGUGAGUAACACGUGGGGAACCUGCCCCUAAGUCUGGGAUACCAUUUGGAAACAGGUGCUAAUACCGGAUAAUAAAGCAGAUCGCAUGAUCAGCUUUUGAAAGGCGGCGUAAGCUGUCGCUAAGGGAUGGCCCCGCGGUGCAUUAGCUAGUUGGUAAGGUAACGGCUUACCAAGGCGACGAUGCAUAGCCGAGUUGAGAGACUGAUCGGCCACAUUGGGACUGAGACACGGCCCAAACUCCUACGGGAGGCAGCAGUAGGGAAUCUUCCACAAUGGACGCAAGUCUGAUGGAGCAACGCCGCGUGAGUGAAGAAGGUUUUCGGAUCGUAAAGCUCUGUUGUUGGUGAAGAAGGAUAGAGGUAGUAACUGGCCUUUAUUUGACGGUAAUCAACCAGAAAGUCACGGCUAACUAC